ACUGCUCAGAUGUGCUAACCUCUCCGCGGUGAGCAGUAGGCAACGGUUUUCUAUCCGGCUAAAGCACAU
rnacentral:ribozyme from 1 species